CUCACUUAUAUUGAAUUUAUAAAAACAUAUAGACAUAGUUCCAGCUUGAGAUAAACAUGACAUUUACAAGAAGUAAACAGCCUUUUUGGGUUCAGGUCAAUGGAAAAAUAACUCGAUAUUGCAGUGCACUGGAGGUCUAGGCAGUUGGUAACUCUUCAGCUUCUGAGGUCUUGGUGCAUAAUUACUCCGAGUGAGAAGUCCAGUAAAUCAACCCACUAACCAACACAAACACACACUGUAAUACUCCUGCAACUCCUGUCCACACUGACGGCCCAGUUUUUACUACUGAAUCUUGUAUCAAGAGUCCCACUGAUGCUGCUAAUGAAACGAAUGAUACCACAUAAGCGAAGAAGAGCCAAAGCUUCAAUCUCCAUUCGCCCUCCUCGUAUGGAGAAUAAUCGAUGUCUUCUUUGCGAACGCAAUUGAACAUCAGAGCCGCAAAAGAAGCAAAAAUACCUGGGAGGUAGUGGACGAAGGAGACGGCGACAGAACUGCAGACAACGGCAUCAACCCAAAACCACCAUCCGGCGCCGAACACAGCUCCGGCGACACCUGGGCCGAAAAUUGACCACAGCUCCGCCAAAUCCAUUUGUGGGUUCUUUCUAUUGCCUUCUCCUUGUGCAAGUGGUUUGAAGCGGGUCGAAUUGGAG
rnacentral:misc_RNA from 1 species